rnacentral:misc_RNA from 1 species
GCAAACUUGGUCAUUUAGAGGAAGUAAAAGUCGUAACAAGGUUUCCGUAGGUGAACCUGCGGAAGGAUCAUUAUUGAAUAUUAAACUUGGUUUAGAUUGUUGCUAUCCUAUGGUAGCACGUCUACUCCAUUUUUAUAUCAACACUUUCUCCUGUGCAUCUAAGUAUAGGUCUGAAUACUUUUCGAGUAGACAAACUUGAAUCUGAGGAAUUGCUGUGUUAAAUGCCAGCUUUUCUUUGCUUUUCAGAUCUAUAUCAAUUUUAUAUAUACACCGUUCAAUAAGUAUUAGAAAUAUGCAAUCAGUAUACAAAUACAACUUUCAACAAUGGAUCUCUUGGCUCUUGCAUCGAUGAAGAACGCAGC